CCCUUAGAUGUUCUGGGCGGCCCGCGCACUACAUUGGCACUCUCAAUAAGUUCCUAGAUCUAAAACUUUGGGGUAUUCUAUUAAGUGGUGUCGUGACUGGGAUUAACCCUUGCAAUUAUUGGUUACGAACGAGGAAUUCCUUGUAAUCGCGGUUUAUCAGCCCGCGUUGAAUGCGUCCCUGCCCUUUGUACACACCGCCCGUCGCUCCUACCGAUGAAUCGUCCGGUGAAGUUCAUAGAGUGGUGGUUGUUCCAGCUGCUGUCGAAGUGAAAUGGACCUCACGAUUUAGAGGAAGGAGAAGUCGUAACA
rnacentral:rRNA from 1 species